GGCCCUACGGGAGGCAGCAGUGAGGAAUAUUGGUCAAUGGGCGGAAGCCUGAACCAGCCAAGUCGCGUGAGGGAUUAAGGCCCUGCGGGUCGUAAACCUCUUUUGCCGGGGAGCAGUGGUCCGGACGCGUCCGGACCGGGAGAGUACCCGGAGAAAAAGCAUCGGCUAACUCCGUGCCAGCAGCCGCGGUAAUACGGAGGAUGCGAGCGUUAUCCGGAUUUAUUGGGUUUAAAGGGUGCGUAGGCGGAAUGCCAAGUCAGCGGUAAAAUCGCGGGGCUCAACCUCGCUCCGCCGUUGAAACUGGC
rnacentral:rRNA from 1 species